rnacentral:sRNA from 2 species
GGCCAUGAGGCUGCUAUUGGCGCAUUGCUCGAGUCUGUAGUGUCCAACUGGUCCCAAGCAACUAAACUGAAUACGGCAGUACAGGGGUGGCUGCGAGGCCUGUUUGGAGGAGAGAACUCGUAUGUAAACUUGGUAGUGCUCUUGACUAACUAGCAACUGAAAGGAGAGACACGGGGGCGGGCUUUCCUCCUUCUCCCCCCCCUGUCUGCAGUUCCCCGCAAAUGAGAGUCAAGGGUUGAUGUUUUGUGCCUUAUUACGCAGGCGCACUUCAAAAGUCCAUUCCCACACUAGGGUGGUUUGAUAGGUGAUUUACUCGCAUCUAUAACUAAACCUUAUACAUUGCUCCCACGCAGGAAGUCUAUCAGUUUUCCAUGUUGUGAAAGAUAAAUUCAAGGUAAUUUACUAGGGCGGGAACGAACUUUUGAAGUACGCCUCCGUACUCGUAUUCUUCUUCUUAUCAUUGCUGUUGUUGACCUGGCUAAAUUGAUCCGGACCCAUCUUUUCAUGCUAGGUUCUUUCCUCUCGACUGUUUUGACUCUGGGUGGCUCUGCGAAGAGAAGUCUGGAUCUUAGGCCCCUUGCAGUUGUUCGCAUUCUGUUUCUAUGCUGGGGCAAGUCCGCGCAGCACUGUACUGUACAUAGUA